AUUUAUAUAAUAUAUAUAGUAUAUUUGACUUCCAAUCAAAAAGAUUAAAAAUUUAAUAUAAAUA
rnacentral:tRNA from 1 species